rnacentral:piRNA from 1 species
UAACAAUAACUAUGGAAAAAA